GCCUGGCUGGUUCAAUGGGUAGAACAUGAGGCUCUUGAUUUCAGGGUCAUGAGUUCAAGUCCCACUUUGGGCA
rnacentral:tRNA from 1 species